CACAUAAGCACAGACAAAGAUAGAAAUAGGUACCCAGAGUCAGGCACACAAAGGAACACACUGGUACAGAUUGGCACAGACAGGCAGACACAGAUACAGACAAGUACACAUAGGCACAGACAGAGAAACAGGCACAAACAUAGACAUAUAUACAAACAGAAAGGUAUACACAGACCCAGAAAGACACAGACAAGAAGAAAGAGGUACACACAGAUACAGAUAGACACAAUCCUGUAUACACUCAC